UCAAGCCUGGGCAAUGGCGGGCGCCCCUCCCCCAGCCUGGCUGCCGCCUUGCAGUUUGAUCUCAGACUGCUGUGCUAGCAAUCAGGGAGACUCCGUGGGCGUAGGACCCUCCGAGCCAGGUGUUACCGUGAGAAAAUAUCUUGAACUUCUACUCUGUACUUCACCAUACAAGAAUUGAGCCUGGUGUUUUCUUUAAAUUAUUUUAUGAUUACUUAAAGCCAUUCUUUAUAAAUUUUGUGUCCCAGAGUCGAUGUAUUCUACCUUUGUCGACCAGAACUUCUCCAUCAUACAGUCCAAACUUGUGGGUCUGGAAAGCACAAACUCUGUAAAUGAGAAACUGGUGAUGAUGUUAAGUAAGUUAUUUAUAUUUUAAGUCCCUGAUUUUAGACUCAUGUAUUUUACCUACUCGGAAAAAAUCAUAUUAUGGUUGUUGAUUUAGAAUACACAUCCUAAAAAGUGACAUCCCAUCUUUGUAUGGUCUCAUGUCUGAGCUAGGCAUCCCACUGAAAUCUUUAACUUAACAUGCCAUUGUUCCACUACGCACCACCCAGCAGCUAAUUGGUCUCCACGCAGAAUGGUGCUAUUAGGGGGACUCAGUGAUUGUCUUGUAUGUAUGGACAUCAUGCAGUAACAGGAGAUAAAUUUGUGUUGGAGACAGGGAACCCAUGCUACUGAAUUUAUGCAUAGUCUUCCUUACAUCACCAUGGUUACCAUGUCUACAUGCACCUCAUGCUCACACUUGGGUUGCGUGAUGGUUAAUAUUGAGUGUCAACUUGAUUGGAUUGAAGGAUGCAAAGCAUCGUUCCUAGGUGUGUCUGUGAGGGUAUUGCCAAAGGAGAUUAACAUUUGAGUCCGUGGACUGAGAAAGCCAGAUCCACAAUCAAUCCGGGUGGGGACAAUCUAAUCAGCUGCCAGCAUGGCCAGAAUAAAAGCAGACAGAAACACGUGGAAAGACCAGACUGGCUAAGCCUUCUGGCCUCCAUCUUUCUUCCAUGCUGGAUGCUUUCUGCCCUUGAACAUCAGACUCCAAGUUCUUCAGCUUUUGGAUUCUUGGACUCACACCAGUGAUUUGCCAGGGGCUCUUGGGCCUUCCACCACAGACUGAAGGCUGCACUAUCAGCUUCCCUACUUUUGAGGUUUUGGGACUCGGACUGGCUUCCUGGCUCCUCAGCUUGAAGACAACCAAUGGUGGGACUUCACCUUGUGAUCCUGUGAGUCAUUUCUCCUAAUAAAUUCCCCUUCAUAUAGACACUAUCCUAUUAGUUCUGUCCAUCUAGAGAACCCCGACAAACAUGGGUUGCUAUCAACUGGACAAAUCAUUGCCAACUAAGUUUUUUAGUGCUUCAGCACUUCUACCAUAGUUAGUGUGCACUAAUGAAUGCAAACAUUUGUAUUACCUAAUACAUGGUCUGGUACAGCAUCCUCAGAUGUGAACUAUGCUGCCUCCUGUAUCCAAAAAGGACUACCAAAUGUUGUACUUCCAUCUUAUUGCAGUGCAGUAAGAAAUAUUUUGUCCUUUAUUUUGUAGAUGUCCCAUCAUGCCCUCAACCACAAAACACCUAAAUUUUACGGUUAUAAUCGCUGUCAGUGGUUGUACGUUGAUAUUCUAUUGUUCCAGCACCAUUCUUUUCCUAUUAAAUUACACUGGCAAAUUUGAUUAAAAAAAACAACUGACUAUAUAUGCUUGUAAACAUUUCCAGAUUAUGUUAUUCUUUUAAUCUAAAUAUGUGUCCUUAUGCCAAUACCCCACUCCAUCUAUUACUGCAGUGUAUGAUAAGUCUUGAAAUCUAGUAGUGUAAGUUCUUCAACGUUGCCCUUAAUUUUUAAAAUCACUCUUGCUAUUUAAAAUUGUUUGUAUUACAUGGAAAUUUUAUAAUCAGCUUGCCAAUUUCUACAAAAGUCCUGCUGAGAUUUUAAUUGGUAUUUUGCUUGUUCUGCAGCUUAAUGCAAGAAAAUUAUCUUAACAAUAUUGAAUUUUUCAAUCUAUUAACAUGUUAUAUAUUACUGUUUACUUAGGAUUUUUUCACUUUUCCUGCCUUGUUUUGAACUGAUAUUGUGGUUUUAAGUAAUUUUUUUUAUUUCUACUAUUGGCUUAGUAACUAUGCCCCACUUUUUGAUUUUGUAGCACAGUUGACCAUUGAACAACACAAGUUUGAAUUGUGCAUGUCCAAUUGUCUAUGGAUAUUUUUCAAUAAAAGUUACACUGAGUGCAUCAGCCUCUCUCCUUCUUCUCCUUCUACCUCCUCCAACUGUUCCACCUCUGCCACCCCAAAACAGCAAGAACAACCCCUCCCUUCCUCCUCCUCCUCCUCAGCCUACUCAAGGUGAAGCUGAUAAGGUAAG
rnacentral:lncRNA from 10 species